UACCAGCACCCCGAGUGGUCGGGACGAUUAUUGGGCCUAAAGCAUCCGUAGCCGGUUCUGCAAGUCUUCCGUUAAAUCCACCUGCUUAACAGGUGGGCUGCGGAGGAUACUAUAGAGCUAGGAGGCGGGAGAGGCAAGCGGUACUUAGUGGGUAGGGGUAAAAUCCGUUGAUCCAUUGAAGACCACCAGUGGCGAAGGCGGCUUGCCAGAACGCACUCGACGGUGAGGGAUGAAAGCUGGGGGAGCAAACCGG
rnacentral:rRNA from 1 species